rnacentral:rRNA from 1 species
UACGAAGGGGGCUAGCGUUGCUCGGAAUCACUGGGCGUAAAGGGUGCGUAGGCGGCGCGGUAAGUCGGGUGUGAAAUCUCGGGGCUUAACUCCGAAACUGCAUUCGAUACUGCCGUGCUUGAGGACUGGAGAGGAGACUGGAAUUUACGGUGUAGCGGUGAAAUGCGUAGAUAUCGUAAGGAAGACCAGUGGCGAAGGCGGGUCUCUGGACAGUUCCUGACGCUGAAGCACGAAGGCCAGGGGAGCAAACGGG